GACAGAGGUCCCGAGCGUUAGGCGGAAUCACUGGGCUUAAAGCGUGUGUAGGCGGAUCGUUAAGUGCCUUGUGAAAUCCCAUGGCUUAACCAUGGAACUGCUUGGCAUACUGGCGGUCUUGAGCCACUUAGGGGCAACCGGAACAAAUGGUGGAGCGGUGAAAUGCGUAGAUAUCAUUUGGAACGCCAAUGGUGAAAACAGGUUGCUGGGAGUGUGCUGACGCUGAGACACGAAAGCCAGGGGAGCGAACGGG
rnacentral:rRNA from 1 species